GAGACUGAUGAGUUCCCGGGAA
rnacentral:miRNA from 5 species